UACGGAGGAUGCAAGCGUUAUCCGGAAUGAUUGGGCGUAAAGCGUCCGCAGGUGGCUAUGUAAGUCUGCUGUUAAAGAGUGAGGCUCAACCUCAUAAGAGCAGUGGAAACUACAUGGCUAGAGUGCGUUCGGGGCAGAGGGAAUUCCUGGUGUAGCGGUGAAAUGCGUAGAUAUCAGGAGGAACACCAAUAGCGAAGGCAGCUCGCUGGGACGUUACUGACACUAAGGCGCGAAAGCGUGGGGAGCGAACAGG
rnacentral:rRNA from 1 species